rnacentral:rRNA from 1 species
CACGUAGGGGGCGAGCGUUGUCCGGAUUUAUUGGGCGUAAAGAGCUCGUAGGCGGCUCGGUAAGUCAGGUGGGAAACCCCCGGGCUCAACUCGGGGACGCCACCUGAUACUGCCAUGGCUAGAGUCCGGUAGGGGAGCGUGGAAUUCCUGGUGUAGCGGUGAAAUGCGCAGAUAUCAGGAGGAACACCAGCGGCGAAGGCGGCGCUCUGGGCCGGAACUGACGCUGAGGAGCGAAAGCGUGGGGAGCAAACAGG